AAGUUGCUCACUUAUGCUAUUUGGGGAAGCCUCUGCCUGAUCUGUGUAUCGGACAUGCUUCCCCUGCAGCUGCUGGUGCAUGUGUGUGUGGGAAUAAAGGCUCUCUAUAAACUAAAUUACGACAAGUAGAGUUUUUCUACGACAGUUCUGGUGCCAUGACUCGGAUCCUCCAGGAGCUGGUAUCAUGUGGAAGGACUGCAGGUCGCCCGCACUCAAAUCCCAGGCGCCAUAAAAGAAGGUAUGUGAUGCUCUUCCUGAACCUGCAGCUGAGCCGUGUCACCAGCCAGCAAACUGGGUAUAUGUGAAAGUAGACCAGAGAAAGAACUCUCUUCAGCCCCAUUGGAAGGGACCUCACCAGAUCCUAUUAACUACCAACACUGCCGUACGCUGUGAAGGACUGACCACUUGAGUACACAUGUCCCACUGCAAGACUGUGACAGCACCUGUAGAGCCCAGCCCAGCUAACUCCUCUCCCAAGCAAGAAUAAUCGAAUCAAGAACUUUUUUGUUCCAGAUGUGACUUUUACCUCCUUAGACUCUCAAACCCCUCAAUAUAAUCUUAGAUCUUGAAAUAACCCUCGAGUUCUAUUCACAUUGUUGCAGGCAAGAGUGAGCCACAGAACAGCACACCUAUUAACAGAACAAGUGUCUUAAAAGGUGUCUACAGUCCCUGGUAUCACACUGUGCAAAAUUUAAAUGGUGUCCAUCAUGAAAGGGUGGAUACUUUUGGUAAGCGUUACCACCUUCCUGAGCUCUACAUCAGCACACUUCGGGUGGUAUGACAAUAUUGCAGUUCAGUGGAUGCAAGGGGUGGCCAAUUCCAUAAACCAAUCCCAAUGUUGGUUUUGUGCCCAUGUACCUUUUGGCACCCCGGGGGAAGUUCCAAUUCUCGCAUUUCCCGACAAUAAAAGUUGGACACAGAGGUUUAAUGACACACCUAGGUUAUGUAAUUGCCAGACAGUCAUGGUCCCUAGGGACAUGUUCUAUCAUCAUCUAAUCCAAUGCUCUGUGACAAUGCCAUUUGGUGUCUAAACCAGAGUUAGUCUGAGAAUGCUAAUUUCUUUGUAGGGACAAUGAAUGCAUCUGGUUGCCAGUUUUUGUGGCGUAUGUCAGAUAAUGUGUCAAUUACUGUGUUAUACCCCAAUAGUUCCAAAGUAAAGAACAACUCAGUACAGGGAAGCAUGACAGUUCUCUAACCCAUGUAUAAAUUCACCGUAGGUAAUGGGACCUGGUGGUUAACAGAAGAUGGCCGAGUAACUGAUCAACCUAAAGCCAGGUGCACACAGAAAACAACAGCUGCCAAAUUAGUUCAGCUGGCACUGAAAGCAUACAAGUAUGAUGCUAACAAAUAUAAUUGGACUGUAAUGUCUACUGGAGCGCCGGGAUUGUUUUGGUCACUGACCAAAGGGCUUUUAAAGCCCUCUCUAUUACUUGGUAUGGCACUUGUACACUAGGGUACAUUGUGCCCAGUGUUCAGGGAUUUAAAAGCUUAAAUGCCCAGAAAAUACAUAAUCAUUAUCCCCUACAUCAGAAGCGAACCAUUAAUAACACUUUAACUGAAAGAGCAACUGGAUUCCAUCAAAUUGCUUGAUGGUUCAUACCCUGGCUAGGUGUGGAACAACUUGAAAAGGCCAGAAUUAAUAUUUCAGCUACAAUAGAACAGAUAGAUAAUUAAAUCAUCUCAGACGUUUUGCAGGCACUACAUCAGGAAAUUAAGUCUUUAACUGGAGUGGUGAGGCAGAAGUGCAUUAUCCUUGACUUUCUCUUAGCUUCCCAAGGAGUAGUUUGUGCCCUGUUAAAUGAAAACUCUUGCUUUUAUGUGAACCAGGAUCAGAGAAUUGAAACUGCCUUUGCAAAGAUCCACACAGGCCUACAAGUACUGCAUGUGGUGACAGCAGAACAGCCAUUUGACUGGUGGGGAUGGCUGCCUAACUUAAGAGGGUGGAUAGGUGCAUGGUCAAGAGGACUAAGAUUAUAGGAGUUUUAAUCAUUAUAAUUUUGUAUGUUUUUAUAAUGCUCAUUUGUGGAUGUGCAUCAUUAUGUAUCAAGUGCUGUAAAGAUACUGCACUCCCCACUGAUCAAUCCCAACAUGAAAUGAGGAAAAUCUGUAAGCAGAUGCUGUAAAUGCUGCAAAAGGAACAAGAAGAUAUCAGUCACCUUACGAAUAUAAAAUAUUGAGCAGAGUGAGGCUGUAAAAGCCUCAACGGGGGAAAUGUGGAAGUAAAAGACAAUCAAUAGUAGGAAAACUAACUCCAUUUCUUACUAACCACUAUCUUAAGGUAAGAACAAAGGAAGAAUCCCUGAACUUUGUAUGAACUCACCAACUUCUGCCUGGCAUCCCAGGAAUUCGAACUGGAUAGAACUGGAUAGAAGUUGCAGAGUUUUCCAGUGCCUUGGAUGUACAGCCAACCAAGAAAGCGUUAGAUAGUAACUAUACCAGCCAAAGAAAUGUGUAUGUCACGCACUUAUGCUAUUUGGGGAAGCCUCUGCCUGAUCUGUGUAUCGGACAUGCUUCCCCUGCAGCUGUCAGUGUGUGUGUGAGUGUGUGUGUGUGUGAGAGAAUAAAGGUUCUCUAUAAACUAAAUUACGACAAGUAGAGUUUUUCUGUGACACAGCAAUGGUUGUCUAAUCAUUUUAUUACACUGAAGGGUU